rnacentral:rRNA from 1 species
GUCCACCCGUAACGUUGGGAACUAGUUGUGGGACCAUUCCACGGUUCCGUGACGCAGCUAACGCAUUAAGUUCCCCGCCUGGGGAGUACGGCCGCAAGGCUAAACUCAAAGGAAUUGACGGGACCCGCACAAGCGGCGGAGCAUGCGGAUUAAUUCGAUGCAACGCGAAGAACCUUACCAAGGCUUGACAUAUACGAGAACGGGCCAGAAAUGGUCAACUCUUUGGACACUCGUAAACAGGUGUGCAUGGUUGUCGU